AAAAGGUUCUCGAAGACAGUAAACAGGAGCGGAAGAGGAACAGGAGGCAGCAGAAGAAAGGCCUCAAGAGAAAUGUAGGAGACUGCAGACACUAGAUCUGGACAUUGUUGGAGCUGGGACUACAUCUCCAGGAGGAGAAGCAUGGACCCAUCUAACUGACCUUAUGAGAGGUGGGGGUGGUUGUGAUGUCUUUGCUUCAAGUCAUGGUUCAGUUGGAACAGCCCUGCUCUACAUAUCUCUCAUUCAUCUGGGGCCAGCAUAAAACCACCUUUGCAGAUAAUUCCAGAAACCAUGUGGAAGAUUGACCAGAGGGGCAAUGCUAAAGGCAGAAUGGUUAUUGAAAUGGCCUGGAGAAGCACUAUUGAGGAACUGAAAUGGGAAAGGAACAGUCGGAAUAGAAGAGAAGAGGUGCUCGAGAUUCAGGCUCAAGCUCAAAAGCCAUCUCAGCAUAGUUCACUGAGUUACUUCAAGUGAGACAACAUUAUGUAUCAAUGAUACACUGAUGGAAGCCCAUGUUCCCUGUUAUAAAAGAGGUUACAUUUAUU
rnacentral:lncRNA from 1 species